rnacentral:rRNA from 1 species
GGGUUGUGAGGUUAAGCGACUAAGCGUACACGGUGGAUGCCCUGGCAGUCAGAGGCGAUGAAGGACGUGCUAAUCUGCGAUAAGCGUCGGUAAGGUGAUAUGAACCGUUAUAACCGGCGAUUUCCGAAUGGGGAAACCCAGUGUGUUUCGACACACUAUCAUUAACUGAAUCCAUAGGUUAAUGAGGCGAACCGGGGGAACUGAAACAUCUAAGUACCCCGAGGAAAAGAAAUCAACCGAGAUUCCCCCAGUAGCGGCGAGCGAACGGGGAGCAGCCCAGAGCCUGAAUCAGUGUGUGUGUUAGUGGAAGCGUCUGGAAAGGCGCGCGAUACAGGGUGACAGCCCCGUACACAAAAAUGCACAUGCUGUGAGCUCGAUGAGUAGGGCGGGACACGUGGUAUCCUGUCUGAAUAUGGGGGGACCAUCCUCCAAGGCUAAAUACUCCUGACUGACCGAUAGUGAACCAGUACCGUGAGGGAAAGGCGAAAAGAACCCCGGCGAGGGGAGUGAAAAAGAACCUGAAACCGUGUACGUACAAGCAGUGGGAGCACGCUUAGGCGUGUGACUGCGUACCUUUUGUAUAAUGGGUCAGCGACUUAUAUUCUGUAGCAAGGUUAACCGAAUAGGGGAGCCGAAGGGAAACCGAGUCUUAACUGGGCGUUAAGUUGCAGGGUAUAGACCCGAAACCCGGUGAUCUAGCCAUGGGCAGGUUGAAGGUUGGGUAACACUAACUGGAGGACCGAACCGACUAAUGUUGAAAAAUUAGCGGAUGACUUGUGGCUGGGGGUGAAAGGCCAAUCAAACCGGGAGAUAGCUGGUUCUCCCCGAAAGCUAUUUAGGUAGCGCCUCGUGAACUCAUCUCCGGGGGUAGAGCACUGUUUCGGCAAGGGGGUCAUCCCGACUUACCAACCCGAUGCAAACUGCGAAUACCGGAGAAUGUUAUCACGGGAGACACACGGCGGGUGCUAACGUCCGUCGUGAAGAGGGAAACAACCCAGACCGCCAGCUAAGGUCCCAAAGUCAUGGUUAAGUGGGAAACGAUGUGGGAAGGCCCAGACAGCCAGGAUGUUGGCUUAGAAGCAGCCAUCAUUUAAAGAAAGCGUAAUAGCUCACUGGUCGAGUCGGCCUGCGCGGAAGAUGUAACGGGGCUAAACCAUGCACCGAAGCUGCGGCAGCGACACUAUGUGUUGUUGGGUAGGGGAGCGUUCUGUAAGCCUGUGAAGGUGUACUGUGAGGUAUGCUGGAGGUAUCAGAAGUGCGAAUGCUGACAUAAGUAACGAUAAAGCGGGUGAAAAGCCCGCUCGCCGGAAGACCAAGGGUUCCUGUCCAACGUUAAUCGGGGCAGGGUGAGUCGACCCCUAAGGCGAGGCCGAAAGGCGUAGUCGAUGGGAAACAGGUUAAUAUUCCUGUACUUGGUGUUACUGCGAAGGGGGGACGGAGAAGGCUAUGUUGGCCGGGCGACGGUUGUCCCGGUUUAAGCGUGUAGGCUGGUUUUCCAGGCAAAUCCGGAAAAUCAAGGCUGAGGCGUGAUGACGAGGCACUACGGUGCUGAAGCAACAAAUGCCCUGCUUCCAGGAAAAGCCUCUAAGCAUCAGGUAACAUCAAAUCGUACCCCAAACCGACACAGGUGGUCAGGUAGAGAAUACCAAGGCGCUUGAGAGAACUCGGGUGAAGGAACUAGGCAAAAUGGUGCCGUAACUUCGGGAGAAGGCACGCUGAUAUGUAGGUGAAGCGACUUGCUCGUGGAGCUGAAAUCAGUCGAAGAUACCAGCUGGCUGCAACUGUUUAUUAAAAACACAGCACUGUGCAAACACGAAAGUGGACGUAUACGGUGUGACGCCUGCCCGGUGCCGGAAGGUUAAUUGAUGGGGUUAGCGCAAGCGAAGCUCUUGAUCGAAGCCCCGGUAAACGGCGGCCGUAACUAUAACGGUCCUAAGGUAGCGAAAUUCCUUGUCGGGUAAGUUCCGACCUGCACGAAUGGCGUAAUGAUGGCCAGGCUGUCUCCACCCGAGACUCAGUGAAAUUGAACUCGCUGUGAAGAUGCAGUGUACCCGCGGCAAGACGGAAAGACCCCGUGAACCUUUACUAUAGCUUGACACUGAACAUUGAGCCUUGAUGUGUAGGAUAGGUGGGAGGCUUUGAAGUGUGGACGCCAGUCUGCAUGGAGCCGACCUUGAAAUACCACCCUUUAAUGUUUGAUGUUCUAACGUUGACCCGUAAUCCGGGUUGCGGACAGUGUCUGGUGGGUAGUUUGACUGGGGCGGUCUCCUCCUAAAGAGUAACGGAGGAGCACGAAGGUUGGCUAAUCCUGGUCGGACAUCAGGAGGUUAGUGCAAUGGCAUAAGCCAGCUUGACUGCGAGCGUGACGGCGCGAGCAGGUGCGAAAGCAGGUCAUAGUGAUCCGGUGGUUCUGAAUGGAAGGGCCAUCGCUCAACGGAUAAAAGGUACUCCGGGGAUAACAGGCUGAUACCGCCCAAGAGUUCAUAUCGACGGCGGUGUUUGGCACCUCGAUGUCGGCUCAUCACAUCCUGGGGCUGAAGUAGGUCCCAAGGGUAUGGCUGUUCGCCAUUUAAAGUGGUACGCGAGCUGGGUUUAGAACGUCGUGAGACAGUUCGGUCCCUAUCUGCCGUGGGCGCUGGAGAACUGAGGGGGGCUGCUCCUAGUACGAGAGGACCGGAGUGGACGCAUCACUGGUGUUCGGGUUGUCAUGCCAAUGGCACUGCCCGGUAGCUAAAUGCGGAAGAGAUAAGUGCUGAAAGCAUCUAAGCACGAAACUUGCCCCGAGAUGAGUUCUCCCUGACUCCUUGAGAGUCCUGAAGGAACGUUGAAGACGACGACGUUGAUAGGCCGGGUGUGUAAGCGCAGCGAUGCGUUGAGCUAACCGGUACUAAUGAACCGUGAGGCUUAACCUUACAACGCCGAAGCUGUU